GAGGAAAAGAAACCAACAGGGAUUGCCUCAGUAACGGCGAGUGAAGCGGCAACAGCUCAAAUUUGAAAUCUGGCCCCGUCGGGGUCCGAGUUGUAAUUUGUAGAGAGUGUUUCGGGUGACACCACGGUCUAAGUCUAUUGGAACAUGGCGUCAUAGAGGGUGAGAAUCCCGUAUGUGACCGUGGCUCGAGCCCAUGUGAAGCCUCUUCGACGAGUCGAGUUGUUUGGGAAUGCAGCUCAAAAUGGGUGGUAAAUUUCAUCUAAAGCUAAAUACUGGCUGGAGACCGAUAGCGCACAAGUAGAGUGAUCGAAAGAUGAAAAGCACUUUGGAAAGAGAGUCAAAAAGUACGUGAAAUUGUUGAAAGGGAAGCGCUUGCAACCAGACCUGUCCGUAGGUGAUCAGCCGCUGUUCUCAGCGGUGCACUCGCUCUGCGAUCAGGCCAGCAUCGGUUUCGGCGGUCGGAUAAAGGCCUUGGGAAUGUAGCUUCCUUCGGGGAGUCUUAUAGCCCUCGGUGCAAUGCGGCCAGCCGGGACCGAGGACCGCGCUUCGGCUAGGAUGCUGGCGUAAUGGUUGUAAGCGACCCGUCUUGAAACACGGACCAAGGAGUCUAACAUCUAUGCGAGUGUUUGGGUGUCAAACCCAUGCGCGGAAUGAAAGUGAACGGAGGUGAGAACCCUUUAGGGCGCAUCAUCGACCGAUCCAGAUGUCUUCGGAUGGAUUUGAGUAUGAGCAUAGCUGUUGGGACCCGAAAGAUGGUGAACUAUGCCUGAAUAGGGUGAAGCCAGAGGAAACUCUGGUGGAGGCUCGCAGCGGUUCUGACGUGCAAAUCGAUCGUCAAAUUUGGGUAUAGGGGCGAAAGACUAAUCGAACCAUCUAGUAGCUGGUUCCUGCCG
rnacentral:rRNA from 1 species